rnacentral:rRNA from 1 species
UCCCGCCUGCCCUGUGACUAUAUGUUUAACGGCCGCGGUAUUUUGACCGUGCGAAGGUAGCGCAAUCACUUGUCUUUUAAAUGGAGACCUGUAUGAAAGGCAUCACGAGGGCUUAGCUGUCUCCCCUUUAAAGUCAAUGAAAUUGAUCUCCCCGUGCAGAAGCGGGGAUAUACUCGUAAGACGAGAAGACCCUAUGGAGCUUAAGAUAAAAGGCGAGUCAUGUCAAACACCCCCUCAAAGGAAAUGAACGAAAUGAUACCCCGCUGGAAUGUCUUCGGUUGGGGCGACCGCGGGGAAAGACAAAACCCCCACAUGGACCAGGGCCACUAUAGCCCUAAAACCUAGACCCACAGGUCAAGUCAACAGUAAAUCUGACCACCAAAGAGCCGGCAAUGCCGAUCAACGGACCGAGUUACCCUAGGGAUAACAGCGCAAUCCCCUCCCAGAGCCCUUAUCGACGAGGGGGUUUACGACCUCGAUGUUGGAUCAGGACAUCCUAAUGGUGCAGCCGCUAUUAAGGGUUCGUUUGUUCAACGAUUAAAGUCCUAC